CACCGCGCACUGCGACUGGACAAACAUCGUUCUCACUAGUAUAUGGUUGCGAGGUUGUCCUGCCUUCAGAAGUGAGCGUCUCGACUGCGAGAUGUAGUCUAGCGACGGAGCGACAGAACUGCGAUGAACUUGUGAACGACCUAGAUACCAUUGAAGAGUCGCGCGACGCAGCAUUGGUACGCAUGGCGGCCCAACAGCAAAUAGUCGCAAGGAGUUUCAAUAAAAACGUCCAAGCCAAGUCCUUCGUCAAAGGUGAUUGGGUCCUAAGAAAAGUGUUUCAGAACACACAAGAGGCUAACGCUGGUAAGCAAGGACAGAAGUGGGAAGGACCAUACCAAAUUAGUAAGGUGGUAGGCAACGGAGCCUACCAAUUGGUCCGACGUGACAGAAGCUCCGUGCCACGUAGCUGGAAUGCCACACACCUCAAACGAUACUUCUUUUAAGCUAAGUAAUAAGUUUUGUUUUCCCUUCGUUGUGUAAAAAAAAAAUGGACGCUAAUGUUAUUGUAUCUGUGUCGCUAGCCGCUAGCGAUCAUAGUGUUCUCUCACUAGGUAUUGUUGAAUUUCAGGGAAGUUGUUCCUGUUCAUCUCGUUAACGUCCCGACGAUUUUUUAGAAGACAACAGGCAGACUUGCAUUUUACUACCAUAUAAAGUCUUUUGGUCCACUAUUACUCCAACUGACGCUACAACAGGGGCAUAGUCAUUUUAAAGCUAUAACUGCUUACGACAUUUCAUCUAUCUCUCUGACAAACACACUUUUUCAAACCGCAAGCUUCUACUGCAAGUCUGCAACUCAAGAUCAUAAGCAUCUGCAAUAACAACUACUUUUUUCUGAUGUAGAAGGGAUGCAAGAGCCUAGAUGUGUCAAAUGAGUCGACUAGGCUCAGUUCAGAUUGCGUGAAGAUUUGGAAAUUGGUUAUCAUGGAAGUCGAUUGAUUAGAAAACCCACUAGGUUUCUUUGUGUUGUUGGUUCAGUUUGUAGCAUGUCUGAUUGAUCAAUAUUGUUCAUGUGUACAUGGAGACAAUUGUAGAAUAUUAAAGUGGCUCUUUGUAUUGUAAGGAUUGUCGUGCUAGUUUCAUUGUUAUGCUAUAUACUAAACCUGAAAGCAGUUAAUGGAGUAAGAUAGAUUCAAUUUAAUUCU